AUUGAACGCUGGCGGCAGGCCUAACACAUGCAAGUCGAGCGGUAGAGAGAAGCUUGCUUCUCUUGAGAGCGGCGGACGGGUGAGUAAUGCCUAGGAAUCUGCCUGGUAGUGGGGGAUAACGUUCGGAAACGGACGCUAAUACCGCAUACGUCCUACGGGAGAAAGCAGGGGACCUUCGGGCCUUGCGCUAUCAGAUGAGCCUAGGUCGGAUUAGCUAGUUGGUGAGGUAAUGGCUCACCAAGGCGACGAUCCGUAACUGGUCUGAGAGGAUGAUCAGUCACACUGGAACUGAGACACGGUCCAGACUCCUACGGGAGGCAGCAGUGGGGAAUAUUGGACAAUGGGCGAAAGCCUGAUCCAGCCAUGCCGCGUGUGUGAAGAAGGUCUUCGGAUUGUAAAGCACUUUAAGUUGGGAGGAAGGGCAGUAAAUUAAUACUUUGCUGUUUUGACGUUACCGACAGAAUAAGCACCGGCUAACUCUGUGCCAGCCGCCGCCGUAACAC
rnacentral:rRNA from 1 species